GCUACUACCGAUUGAAUGGUUUAGCGAGAUGCUCGGAUCGGGCCCAGCUCGUGCGAAAGCAUGUGCCGGGACAGAGAAGAAGUUCAAGCUUGAUCAUUUAGAGGAAGUAAAAGUCGUAACAAGGUUUUCGUAGGUGAACCUGCAGAAGGAUCAUUCCGCAAUGCUCCUACCGAUUUUGAGUGAUCCGGUGAAUUAUUCGGACUGACGCAGUGCUCAGCUUCUGGACGUUGCGUUGGAAAGUUUCAUGAACCUUAUCACUUAGAGGAAGGAGAAGUCGUAACAAGGUUUGCGUAGGUGAACCUGCAGAAGGAUCA
rnacentral:misc_RNA from 1 species